GAUUUCUGGUUUGAUGUACCUGUCCCGCCUCGGUAACGGGGUCGAGUGACGGAGUAUGUCUGCCAUCCUUCUAGAGAAUAUAAACUAUCCUUUACUGGACCGGUUUAUAUCAUCUAGAUCUUUUACUUUGAAAAAAUUAGAGUGUUUCAAGCAGGCGUUUUGCUAUGAAUACAUUAGCAUGGAAUAAUAAUUUAGGACUUUGUUCUUAUUUUGUUGGUUUCUAAGGAUGAAGUAAUGAUUGAUAGGGAUCGUUGGGGGUGCUAGUAUUCAGCGGCCAGAGGUGAAAUUCUUGGAUUCGCUGAAGACUAACUUAUGCGAAAGCAUU
rnacentral:rRNA from 1 species